UCUCUGUGAUGAUUAACUUAAGAUGACGAGUCCGAUAAUCCAUUCUUUUAAAUCGUGACGACAAUCGAGGCAUUUGUCUGAGAGAA